GAGCAGAAACUGGAACUGCAGUAUGGCUAAAUGAGGUUAGCUCUUGAAUCAGUGGAAUUCAGUAAAGUAGAUUUAUUUCCCCAAUGUUGCUGGGCAUUAUCCAAUCUAUUGAGGGCCUGCAAAGAACAAACAGAGAAAGAAAUCUACAACAUUGUUUUCCCCAGUUGCACAUCUUUAAAUACUAAGAAGGAGCUGCACUAAUAGGUUUCAUGGAUUUCCAGCUUCCAGACAACUCAGCUGAUCAUGAGACGUUUUAGACUCCACAAGGGCAUGUGUGGCUAUCUUCCUUUGAAGAAAAAUAUAGUGACUUCGUGGAAUGAGUCACUUUCUUCUGGUGAUAUCACAGGUUUGGAAGGACAGCUUUGAUCAACCUGAGGUACAAUAACACCUGCACUACAUGUAACAUAUUGUGACUGUAGGGAUCCAUCCAAGAUCUUCUGUGAGUAAGUAAUGAGGAACUCUACCAACUGUGCCUGAUUUCCAUAUUCAGCAAGGGAGGCAAUGGUGACAGGAGCUUUUGUGGGCCUUGGCCUAAUGAGACUUGGUCCAAAUAUUACCCCCAAGUUUUUGGAGUUCAUCUUGUUUUCUUCAGCAUGAUCUACUACCCGCUUAAGAUGUACUAUGAGGUAAUGAAGACUGUUAAAAUUUGAUGUUGGCAACUGUCUUAGGAGGUCCUUACUUUUUAGAAGAAUUCAGUUUAUCUCUGUACACAUAUUUGGGUAUUUUUUGUCCUUGGGGUUAUCCUUUUUGGUUUCUUGUUCUUCAUUAACAAGUAGGAUCUCUUUUGCAAGGUCUAUAAAUUCCUUGAACAAUCAGAAUAAAAUAAUGGUUCUGGGAGCUGUUGAAGGUAAAGUUUUAACACUUUACAGAUGUCAUGUGAAUUAAAUUCUGAAGUGUCUACCAAAAGCAUUCCGUUCUCCAAAGCUUGACACAGUUUUUCAGUUUUUGUUUUGUUUCCACUAACACGAUAAAAUCCUUGUAAACACAAGGCUCUAUUUUCAAUCUCUGAAGCACAUAUUUUGAGUGUGAAAAAAUGCCACCUGGCUCCUUUUUUGCAACGUGUGUGAAUUCUGCUCCACCAAAUAAGUGUGUUUUUCUCAGAAGUUUCUGAUGACCACAAAUAAUGACAAGUUUUUCAUACAUUUUUUAUGGCAAACAAGGAGACACUCUUCACAUUCAACAUCUUGGAAUACUACAAAGCCGUCACAAUCUCUGCAUUUUGUGAGGGAUCUCAAUUUCCAGAACUUGUGAGUAAGAGCUGCUUUUAAAUCAAUAUAUUUUUAAAUGCUCCAAGGGAAUUGUGUCCAGUUUCUGAAAGGGGAAGGU